AGUGAACGCUGGCGGUAGGCCUAACACAUGCAAGUCGAACGGCAGCACAGUAAGAGCUUGCUCUUACGGGUGGCGAGUGGCGGACGGGUGUGGAAUACAUCGGAAUCUACUUUUUCGGGGGGGAUAACGUAGGGAAACUUACGCUAAUACCGCAUACGACCUACGGGUGAAAGCAGGGGAUCUUCGGACCUUGCGCGAUUGAAUGAGCCGAUGUCGGAUUAGCUAGUUGGCGGGGUAAAGGCCCACCAAGGCGACGAUCCGUAGCUGGUCUGAGAGGAUGAUCAGCCACACUGGAACUGAGACACGGUCCAGACUCCUACGGGAGGCAGCAGUGGGGAAUAUUGGACAAUGGGCGCAAGCCUGAUCCAGCCAUACCGCGUGGGUGAAGAAGGCCUUCGGGUUGUAAAGCCCUUUUGUUAGGAAAGAAAAGCAGCAGGUUAAUACCCCGCUGUUCUGACGGUACCCAAAGAAUAAGCACCGGCUAACUUCGUG
rnacentral:rRNA from 1 species